UUAAAUUGAAGAGUUUGAUCAUGGCUCAGAUUGAACGCUGGCGGCAGGCCUAACACAUGCAAGUCGAACGGUAACAGGAAGCAGCUUGCUGCUUCGCUGACGAGUGGCGGACGGGUGAGUAAUGUCUGGGAAACUGCCUGAUGGAGGGGGAUAACUACUGGAAACGGUGGCUAAUACCGCAUAACGUCGCAAGACCAAAGAGGGGGACCUUCGGGCCUCUUGCCAUCAGAUGUGCCCAGAUGGGAUUAGCUGGUUGGUGAGGUAACGGCUCACCAAGGCGACGAUCCCUAGCUGGUCUGAGAGGAUGACCAGCCACACUGGAACUGAGACACGGUCCAGACUCCUACGGGAGGCAGCAGUGGGGAAUAUUGCACAAUGGGCGCAAGCCUGAUGCAGCCAUGCCGCGUGUAUGAAGAAGGCCUUCGGGUUGUAAAGUACUUUCAGCGGGGAGGAAGGUGUUGCGGUUAAUAACCGCAGCAAUUGACGUUACCCGCAGAAGAAGCACCGGCUAACUCCGUGCCAGCAGCCGCGGUAAUACGGAGGGUGCAAGCGUUAAUCGGAAUUACUGGGCGUAAAGCGCACGCAGGCGGUCUGUCAAGUCGGAUGUGAAAUCCCCGGGCUCAACCUGGGAACUGCAUUCGAAACUGGCAGGCUUGAGUCUUGUAGAGGGGGGUAGAAUUCCAGGUGUAGCGGUGAAAUGCGUAGAGAUCUGGAGGAAUACCGGUGGCGAAGGCGGCCCCCUGGACAAAGACUGACGCUCAGGUGCGAAAGCGUGGGGAGCAAACAGGAUUAGAUACCCUGGUAGUCCACGCCGUAAACGAUGUCUACUUGGAGGUUGUGCCCUUGAGGCGUGGCUUCCGGAGCUAACGCGUUAAGUAGACCGCCUGGGGAGUACGGCCGCAAGGUUAAAACUCAAAUGAAUUGACGGGGGCCCGCACAAGCGGUGGAGCAUGUGGUUUAAUUCGAUGCAACGCGAAGAACCUUACCUGGUCUUGACAUCCACAGAACUUUCCAGAGAUGGACUGGUGCCUUCGGGAACUGUGAGACAGGUGCUGCAUGGCUGUCGUCAGCUCGUGUUGUGAAAUGUUGGGUUAAGUCCCGCAACGAGCGCAACCCUUAUCCUUUGUUGCCAGCGGUUAGGCCGGGAACUCAAAGGAGACUGCCAGUGAUAAACUGGAGGAAGGUGGGGAUGACGUCAAGUCAUCAUGGCCCUUACGACCAGGGCUACACACGUGCUACAAUGGCGCAUACAAAGAGAAGCGACCUCGCGAGAGCAAGCGGACCUCAUAAAGUGCGUCGUAGUCCGGAUUGGAGUCUGCAACUCGACUCCAUGAAGUCGGAAUCGCUAGUAAUCGUGGAUCAGAAUGCCACGGUGAAUACGUUCCCGGGCCUUGUACACACCGCCCGUCACACCAUGGGAGUGGGUUGCAAAAGAAGUAGGUAGCUUAACCUUCGGGAGGGCGCUUACCACUUUGUGAUUCAUGACUGGGGUGAAGUCGUAACAAGGUAACCGUAGGGGAACCUGCGGUUGGAUCACCUCCUUACCUUAAAGAA
rnacentral:rRNA from 1 species